UACAGAGGGUGCGAGCGUUGUUCGGAAUUACUGGGCGUAAAGCGCGCGCAGGCGGAUCCUGUAAGUCUGAAGUGAAAUCUCACUGCUCAACGGUGAGACUGCUCUGGAUACUGCGGAUCUUGAGACCGGUAGAGACUGGUAGAAUUGCAGGUGUAGCGGUGGAAUGCGUAGAGAUCUGCAAGAAUACCCGUGGCGAAGGCGGCCCCCUGGACCGGUACUGACGCUGAGGCGCGAAAGCGUGGGUAGCAAACGGG
rnacentral:rRNA from 1 species